rnacentral:misc_RNA from 1 species
GCAACCUGCAAAUACGCCAAUAAAUAAAUAAGACUAUGGGAUCUAAAGAACAUGGAAAGGAAAUAGUCUCCCUUCACAUGAAAAUUGAACUAACAUGAUAUAAUUUCUAAUGCAUUUGAAUUGACCAAAUUUUGCUUUUAAUGGUCACUUGUAACAAUAUAUUUUUUUACCAAAGAUCUGUAUAUAAACAUCAUUUUUGUGGUUAAUACUCUGUUUAUCUUCAUUAUUCCCUUGUUCUUUUCUUAUAUUCUAUUUGGCGUAUGUUGAUGUAGUCGAGUUAUUUGGCUUGGGGAUUU